ensembl:lncRNA
GGUCCAAUUGAAGAUGGAAGAAAAACUUUCAGAUGAAAAAUUAAAAUGUAUGCUCGCCCCUUGGAGGUUUUCCCUCAGGGCACCUGGAUUUGAAACAGGCUGGUGACGGCUCUACAACUGUUUGAGCGUUUCCCUUUAGACAUAGCUGUGACUGGAGGAACGCCAGAGGCUAAUGCUCAGCUGGCUUCUGCAAUCUGUGGGCCGGGUGAGGAAAUCGAAGAGGAGGAAUGGGAAACUGAUGAUGAAGGUGAUGAGGAGGAAGAAACAGACGAGGAAGAAGAAGCAGAAGACUGGGAGGAAGAUGAAAAUGCAGAUGAGGAACAUAGUAUAAAGUCUAAGUACUUAAACACUAAUCUCCAGAGCAGCAGCAGGAGGAAACGUGUACGGAUAGCAGAGCAUGCAGAAUAUAUAGGGAGUAGCAUUCCUGAUAUUGACUCUGUGAUUGUACACCAUCAAAUCCCAAAUGUCUGUGUGUGGACUGUGCAAGGCCAUCCAACCUCAAAUUCCAUUAUUAACCAGACCGACCAGCAGUAUGACUCCACAUGCUAUGAUGUUCUAGUGGUUCUCACUACAGAUUAGCACAAGGAGGACCACAUGUGGCUCAAAAUGGAAUUGCAUGGCAGAGAUCAGCCUUUUUUUCUGGUUCAAGCUGAGCGGGACUGGGACGUGGUCGAGGAGAAGCCUACAGGGCCAUGCAUGACCUGCUCCUGGGAAUGAAUGAGAGCUCGCAAACUGGAGUUGCAAAAGAAAAGAAAAGAAGUAUGUGGAGAGACAGCCGAUUCAGAAGCAGACAGCAAGAAUACUUCAAACGCUCCCCAAGAUCCAGAGUUUGCGAAGAUGAAGGAUAUCGUGAAGGUGCUUGCUGAAGCCCUGCCUGAGCUUCGGAAAAAGGCUUUUAGUCAGUUUCUGGUGGUGAUUACAAAGGUUUGUGGUCUCUACUGCUUUAAGGUCGAAGAAGAUAAACCAGGAUCAUCUUGAUGUGAUAACCAAGCUCUCGCAGCCGAGAGAUCUCACAGACAAUCCUUCCAAGCUUCAGGCCAUCCUUGCAGGUCUCGAUCACUUCCGGCUGGAUAUCAGUGUGCUGGGUGAUACAGGCUGUGGCAGCUCCAGCUUGGUCAAUGCCCUCUUGGGCCUGGAGAAUGGUGAUGAGCGAGCAGCCUCAACUGGUGUCACUGAAAUGACCAAAGAGGCGGUGAAGUAUCGCUCCCCCUCCCCCAACGUCUGUCUUUGGGACCUUCCUGGGAUUGGAAAAAUAAGUAAUCUUGGCAGCCUGUCCUGUGCGUCCAGCUCUUCCGAAUCUCAACGCAUAACAUCUGCACUCUCUUUGUGUGAUGUAUACAUACUGGUGUCUCCUUUGAGGCUUAGAUUGGGAGCCAUAUAGUUGCUGCAGCAAGCAUCCUCUCUAGGGAAAGAAUGUUACCUGGUUCUUUCCAUGGUAGACUUGAUUGAGGAAAAAUCCAUUGUAGAGGUGAGGCAAGUUCUGGGUAAACUGGGUCUCCAGCAGAGCUUUUUUCUGGUGUCUGCUCAUCAUCCAGAAACAUUGGACUUACCCAAGCUUAAGGAGAUGAUGAAUACAGCCUUUCCGAGUCAUAAGAGAGUUGCUUUUGCCAGAUUUGCAGCAAAGCAACUGGAUGGAGAUGUUUUCUGGAAAAGAUCAGAUUCUUGCAAAUUUAUGUAAAUAAUUUAAAAAAGGGUAUAUUCUCAUACUCAAGCAUGUUUUAUUAGGGAGGGAUUUCUGUUUGUUUAACUGUUCAUCACUCUCCAAAUAUAUUUUGAACCACCCUAGUCCGAUGCAGUGUAUUAGCUAGUGACAAAAGCCUUUUUUUAUAUGUGAUGUUUAUUAUUAUUUGUCACUUCUUUAAUUUUCAGGCUACCCAUAUCUUCCUGAAUUCUUUUGUUCAGGCAUAAUGUGAAUAUACAUUUACCCAUUUAGAUUUUUUCUUUAGAAUAAUUCUUGCGUGCCACCAUAUUUGCAAAA